ACAACUUGAGUUGUACUGUGUAAAUCAAGCAUACAACUCGAGUUGUGUGCUUGAUUUACACAGUACAACUUGUAC